rnacentral:rRNA from 1 species
AGCCACGGCUAACUACGUGCCAGCAGCCGCGGUAAUACGUAGGUGGCAAGCGUUAUCCGGAAUUAUUGGGCGUAAAGAGUGAGCAGGCGGUUUUUUAAGUCUGAAGUCAAAUCCUGUGGCUCAACCACAGUUCGCUUUGGAAACUGAAGAACUAGAGUGCGGGAGAGGUAAGCGGAAUUCCAUAUGUAGCGGUGAAAUGCACAGAUAUAUGGAGGAACACCGGUGGCGAAGGCGGCUUACCAGCCCGAUACUGACGCUCAGUCACGAAAGCGUGGGGAGCAAAUAGGCUUAGAUACCCUAGUAGUCCACGCCGUAAACGUUGAGGACCUGAUGCCGGAGUAUUUCGGUGUCGUAGCUAACGCGUUAAGUCCUCCGCCUGGGUACUACGUUCGCAAGAAUAAAACUUAAAGGAAUUGACGGGGGCCCGCACAAGCAGUGGAGCAUGGGGUUUAAUUCGUCGAUACACGAAAAACCUUACCAGGGCUUGACAUCCCGCUAAAAGCCUUAGAAAUAAGGAAAUAGUUAUAGCGGUGACAGGUGGUGCAUGGUUGUCGUCAGCUCGUGCCGUGAGGUGUUAGGUUAAGUCCUCAAACGAGCGCAACCCUUGUCUUUAGUUGCCAUUAUUAAUUUAGGAACUCUAGAGAGACUGCCGGCGCAAGCCGGAGGAAGGCGGGGAUGACGUCAAAUCAUCAUGCCCUUUAUGCCCUGGGCCACACCCGUGCUACAAUGGUCGGUACAAAGAGAAGCAACACUGUGAGGUGAAGCAAAUCCCAUAAAGCCGAUCUCAAUUCGGAUUGAAGUCUGCAACUCGACUUCAUGAAGCUGGAAUUGCUAGUAAUCGCAGAUCAGCAACGCUGCGGUGAAUACGUUCUCGGGCGUUGUACACACUGCCCGUCACACCAUGAGAGCCGGUAAUACUCGAAGUCGUUAGCCUAACCGUAAGGAGGGCGGCGCCUAAGGUAGGACUGGUGAUUGGGGU